UUUCCGUAGGUGAACCUGCGGAAGGAUCAUUCAUAAUAAGUGUUUUAUGGCACUUUUUUAAAUCCAUAUCCACCUUGUGUGCAAUGUCAGGGUUGAUUUUUCUCUCGAGAGGAUCAACCCCAAACAUCAACUAUACCUCAACUCUUUGUCUGAAAAAUAUUAUGAAUAAAACAAUUCAAAAUACAACUUUCAACAACGGAUCUCUUGGUUCUC
rnacentral:misc_RNA from 1 species